UACAGAGGGGGCAAGCGUUGUUCGGAAUUACUGGGCGUAAAGGGCGCGUAGGCGGCCCGCUAAGUCGAACGUGAAAUCCCCGGGCUCAACCCGGGAACUGCGUCCGAUACUGGUGGGCUCGAAUCCGGGAGAGGGAUGCGGAAUUCCCGGUGUAGUGGUGAAAUGCGUAGAUAUCGGGAGGAACACCAGUGGCGAAGGCGACUUCCUGGCCUGUUCUUGACGCUGAGGCGCGAAAGCUAGGGGAGCAAACGGG
rnacentral:rRNA from 1 species